rnacentral:lncRNA from 1 species
GAGCCCGUGAAAACAAUCGAAUUGGUUCUUGUCGGUGAGCCUGUAAAAACCGACCGAGUUCGUUGUGAUCUCGUGAAAACAACAAGUUAGGUUGUGAGCUUGUAAAACACUAUACGUUUGUUGUGUUUGCGAUGCUUGGGGAGUGCAUGUAGGUGAUGGGGUGUACCGAACCACUAUACGUUUGUUGUGUUUGUGAUGCUUUCUUUCAUUGUUUAAUUUCCUCACUUACUUACUUAGAUAAAUAUCUAAUUGAAUUGCUUGCUUAACUCUUAUCCGCGCAUCCUUUAGUUGCAAGUAUAUUCAAAUUGUUUAAUCAAGUUUCUUUUAAUAAAACUGCAUUAAGAUUCAUUAUAUUGAAAUGCUCGCUUAGGAAAAUCUAGACUAAUUGUUUAUUGAGUCCGCUCCUUAAUAGUUUUAAUCUUGAUCAGAUUAGAAUCAAACUAUUGCUAAGUUUAAAUUC